rnacentral:rRNA from 1 species
GACGGAGGAUGCAAGUGUUAUCCGGAAUCACUGGGCGUAAAGCGUCUGUAGGUGGUUUAAUAAGUCAACUGUUAAAUCUUGAGGCUCAACCUCAAAAUCGCAGUCGAAACUAUUAGGCUAGAGUAUGGUAGGGGUAAAGGGAAUUUCCAGUGGAGCGGUGAAAUGCGUAGAGAUUGGAAAGAACACCGAUGGCGAAGGCACUUUACUGGGCUAUUACUAACACUCAGAGACGAAAGCUAGGGUAGCAAAUGGG